rnacentral:rRNA from 1 species
GUGACGAGCGGCGGACGGGUGAGUAAUGUCUGGGAAACUGCCUGAUGGAGGGGGAUAACUACUGGAAACGGUAGCUAAUACCGCAUAAUGUCGCAAGACCAAAGUGGGGGACCUUCGGGCCUCAUGCCAUCAGAUGUGCCCAGAUGGGAUUAGCUAGUAGGUGGGGUAACGGCUCACCUAGGCGACGAUCCCUAGCUGGUCUGAGAGGAUGACCAGCCACACUGGAACUGAGACACGGUCCAGACUCCUACGGGAGGCAGCAGUGGGGAAUAUUGCACAAUGGGCGCAAGCCUGAUGCAGCCAUGCCGCGUGUGUGAAGAAGGCCUUCGGGUUGUAAAGCACUUUCAGCGGGGAGGAAGGCGUUGAGGUUAAUAACCUUGUCGAUUGACGUUACCCGCAGAAGAAGCACCGGCUAACUCCGUGCCAGCAGCCGCGGUAAUACGGAGGGUGCAAGCGUUAAUCGGAAUUACUGGGCGUAAAGCGCACGCAGGCGGUCUGUCAAGUCGGAUGUGAAAUCCCCG